UGACAAAGUUUAACGGCCGCGGUACCCUAACCGUGCGAAGGUAGCAUAAUCACUUGUUCUUUAAAUAGGGACUCGUAUCAACGGCAUCACGAGGGCUAUACUGUCUCCUUUCUCCAAUCAGUGAAACUGAUCUUCCCGUGAAGAAGCGGGAAUUAUUGUAUAAGACGAGAAGACCCCAUGGAGCUUUAAACUCAAUAUAUACCUCUACGCAUUUAUAUCACUAUAGCCUAAGAAAAUUAUAUAUUAGUUUUGGGUUGGGGGGACCGCGGAGAAAAAAUUAACCUCCACGACAAAUAGGCCAACGCCUUUAUCUAUGAACCACAAUUCUAAGAAUCAAUAAACUGAUGUUUAAUGAUCCAAUUUUUUGAUCAACGAACCAAGUUACCCUGGGGAUAACAGCGCAAUCUACUUCAAGAGCUCCUAUCGACAAGUGGGUUUACGACCUCGAUGUUGGAUCAGGGUAUCCUAGUGGUGCAGCCGCUACUAAAGGUUCGUUUGUUCAACGAUUAAAACCCUACGUGAUCUGAU
rnacentral:rRNA from 1 species